rnacentral:rRNA from 1 species
GACGAACGCUGGCGGCGUGCUUAACACAUGCAAGUCGAGCGGUAAGGCCCUUUCGGGGGUACACGAGCGGCGAACGGGUGAGUAACACGUGGGUGACCUGCCCUCAGCUCUGGGAUAAGCCCGGGAAACUGGGUCUAAUACCGGAUAUGACUCCAUGACGCAUGUUGUGGGGUGGAAAGCCUUGUGCGGCUGAGGAUGGGCCCGCGGCCUAUCAGCUUGUUGGUGGGGUGAUGGCCUACCAAGGCGACGACGGUAGCCGGCCUGAGAGGGCGACCGGCCACACUGGGACUGAGACACGGCCCAGACUCCUACGGGAGGCAGCAGUGGGGAAUCUUGCGCAAUGGGCGAAAGCCUGACGCAGCGACGCCGCGUGAGGGAUGACGGCCU